UACGAAGGGAGCUAGCGUUGUUCGGAAUCACUGGGCGUAAAGCGCACGUAGGCGGACGUGUCAGUCAGGGGUGAAAUCCCGGAGCUCAACUUCGGAACUGCCUUUGAUACAGCACGUCUUGAGUCCGGAAGAGGUGGGUGGAAUUCCUAGUGUAGAGGUGAAAUUCGUAGAUAUUAGGAAGAACACCGGUGGCGAAGGCGGAUUUCUGGGACAUAACUGACGCUGAGGCGCGAAAGCGUGGGGAUCAAACAGG
rnacentral:rRNA from 1 species